AGGGGGAGCACCGGAUCCUGGGCUGUGUCCCCCCGCGCCCUGGGCUCCGGGGCCUGCUCUGCUGAAAUCGCGCUCCCAGGGCCGCCCAGCCCCCU
rnacentral:pre_miRNA from 1 species